rnacentral:rRNA from 1 species
UACGGGGGGGCAAGCGUUGUUCGGAAUUACUGGGCGUAAAGGGCGCGUAGGCGGCCAUGCGUGUCUUCCGUGAAAUCCCUCGGCUUAACUGAGGACGUGCGGAAGAAACUGCAAGGCUCGAGUCCGGGAGAGGGGGGUGGAAUUCCCAGUGUAGCGGUGAAAUGCGUAGAUAUUGGGAGGAACACCGGUGGCGAAGGCGGCCCCCUGGACCGGUACUGACGCUGAGGCGCGAAAGCGUGGGUAGCAAACGGG